rnacentral:rRNA from 1 species
UACGUAGGUGGCAAGCGUUGUCCGGAAUUAUUGGGCGUAAAGCGCGCGCAGGCGGCUUCGCAAGUCGAGUGUGAAAUCCCCGAGCUUAACUUGGGAAUUGCGCUCGAAACUACGGAGCUGGAGUGUGGCAGAGGAAGGUGGAAUUCCACGUGUAGCGGUGAAAUGCGUAGAGAUGUGGAGGAACACCGAUGGCGAAGGCAGCCUUCUGGGCCAACACUGACGCUCAUGCACGAAAGCGUGGGGAGCAAACAGG